rnacentral:rRNA from 1 species
UACGAAGGGGGCUAGCGUUGCUCGGAAUCACUGGGCGUAAAGGGUGCGUAGGCGGGUUUUUAAGUCAGAGGUGAAAUCCUGGAGCUCAACUCCAGAACUGCCUUUGAUACUGAAAGUCUUGAGUAUGGGAGAGGUGAGUGGAACUGCGAGUGUAGAGGUGAAAUUCGUAGAUAUUCGCAAGAACACCAGUGGCGAAGGCGGCUCACUGGCCCAUAACUGACGCUGAGGCACGAAAGCGUGGGGAGCAAACAGA